rnacentral:tRNA from 1 species
GGGUCCCUAGCUCAAUUGGCAGAGCAGCGGGCUUUUAACCCGAAGGUUGAGGGUUCGAUUCCCUCGGGACCCA